GUCCCGAUGGCCAAGCUGGAUAAGGCAGCGGACUUCUAUUCCGCCGAUUUGGGGGUUCGAAUCCCUCUCGGGGCGCCA
rnacentral:tRNA from 1 species